UCAGAACGAACGCUGGCGGCAUGGAUUAGGCAUGCAAGUCGAACGAAGCAGCAAUGCUUAGUGGCGCAAGGGUGAGGAACACGUGAGUGACCUACCCGCAAGUUUGGAACAGCUCCUGGAAACGGGAAUUAAUACCGGACGUGAUCAAUGAGCUGCACGGUUUAUUGAUUAAGCAGCAAUGCGCUUGCGGAUGGGCUCGCGUCCCAUUAGCUAGUUGGUGAGGUAACGGCCCACCAAGGCCAUGAUGGGUAGCUGGUCUGAGAGGACGACCAGCCACACUGGGACUGAGAACUGCCCAGACUCCUACGGGAGGCUGCAGUCGAGAAUUUUGGGCAAUGGACGAAAGUCUUGACCCAGCAAUGCCGCGUGCGGGAUGAAGGUCUUCGGAUUGUAAACCGCUGUUUGGAGGGACGAAAAUUGACGGUACUUCCAGAGGAAGCCACGGCUAACUACGUGCCAGCAGCCGC
rnacentral:rRNA from 1 species